rnacentral:rRNA from 1 species
ACGGAAGGCAGCAGUGGGGGAUAUUGCACAAUGGGGGAAACCCUGAUGCAGCGACGCCGCGUGAGCGAAGAAGUAUUUCGGUAUGUAAAGCUCUAUCAGCAGGGAAGAAAAUGACGGUACCUGACUAAGAAGCUCCGGCUAAAUACGUGCCAGCAGCCGCGGUACUACGUAUGGAGCAAGCGUUAUCCGGAUUUACUGGGUGUAAAGGGAGCGUAGACGGUUUGCCAAGUCUGAUGUGAAAGGUGGGGGCUCAACCCCCAAACUGCAUUGGAAACUGGUAGACUAGAGUGUCGGAGAGGUAAGUGGAAUUCCUAGUGUAGCGGUGAAAUGCGUAGAUAUUAGGAGGAACACCAGUGGCGAAGGCGGCUUACUGGACGAUAACUGACGUUGAGGCUCGAAAGCGUGGGGAGCAAACAGGAUUAGAUACCCUGGUA